rnacentral:rRNA from 1 species
AGUGAACGCUGGCGGUAGGCCUAACACAUGCAAGUCGAACGGCAGCACAGAGGAGCUUGCUCCUUGGGUGGCGAGUGGCGGACGGGUGAGGAAUACAUCGGAAUCUACUCUGUCGUGGGGGAUAACGUAGGGAAACUUACGCUAAUACCGCAUACGACCUACGGGUGAAAGCAGGGGACCUUCGGGCCUUGCGCGAUUGAAUGAGCCGAUGUCGGAUUAGCUAGUUGGUAGGGUAAAGGCCUACCAAGGCGAUGAUCUGUAGCUGGUCUGAGAGGACGGACAGCCACACUGGGACUGAGACACGGCCCAGACUCCUACGGGAGGCAGCAGUGGGGAAUAUUGGACAAUGGGGGGAACCCUGAUUCAGCGAUGCCGCGUGUGUGAAGAAGGCCUGCGGGUUGUAAAGCACUUUCAGUUGGGAAGAGAAGCGACCUGUGAAUAAUGGGUUGUGGAGACGUUACUAACAGAAGAAGCACCGGCUAACUCUGUGCCAGCAGCCGCCGUAA